UUUGAUGUCGAUCCGAAGCAUGAAUGACGCUAAAUGCACCAUGGUAGCCAAAGUUUAGAAAUCAGGGAACAUUUUAUUUGGUUUUGGUUACCUCUGUACUAUUUUAAAUUAUUUGAAAAUCUCAGAUUAAUUAACACAAGAGCACCUCAGAGGUGCAAAACCACAGUAAAAACAGUAAAGGUUGAACAUCAGUGACUCUCCAGGGAACAUGAAGCUGAUCUGAGCUGAACUGUGGAGGAUGGGAGGGUCCAGGCCUUAAUGCAGCACUGAGGCAGAGCAGGGAUGUGUUGAGGUCAACCUGCCAGUAGGGGGAGUACCACAGGGCUCCUGUCAGCACAUGAAGACGGAGCACAGAGCAGCCAGCUCUGUUUCUGCUCGCUCCUCAGACAUGCCUCCUCUGUUGUUCUCAGUGCUGCUGGCUGCUGUCAGCCUCGAAUGCAGAGCGCAGACCGACGGCGUGCUGCAACCAGAGAGAGACGUGAUGGCUGCUGAAGGAGGCAGUGCAACUCUGAACUGUCUCUAUAACACCAGUGCAUCCAACCACUACCUCUACUGGUACAGACUGGAGGAAGGCAGCAGCCCCAUAUUCAUCCUGAGUCGCUUCAAGAUUGGAGAUGGGAAAACGGUGGAGAAGAGAUUUUCCUCCAGCCUGGAUGCCACUGCUAGAUCGGUUCCUCUGACGAUCCAGGAUCUCCGUCCGUCAGACUCUGCUGUGUACUACUGCGCUCUGCAGCCCACAGUGACAGGAAACACCAGAACCCUGUACAAAAACCUGCAGUACUCCACAGCAGCCACUAGAGGGCCUCGCUCCCUCUGUUUGGUUGAAUUCAGUCUGAAACAGACCUCUGUGUGUUUGGCUCAUCAGUUUGAGAUGAAAAUGUGGAAACCAGGAAGUGAGUUUGGUGAAUCAUUAAAGUAAAAAGAUAUUUAAAAAGAAUUAAUGAAUUUGACUUGAAAUCCAAUCAACAAUUUCUGAAAAAUAUGACCUUUUUAUGAUAAAAUAUCAUCCAUUUUCCUCUAUGGAGUCUUUCUGCUGUUGAAAUCAUACUGAGGGA